rnacentral:rRNA from 1 species
AUUGAACGCUGGCGGCAGGCCUAACACAUGCAAGUCGAGCGGAAACGAAGAGGUGCUUGCACCUCUGGCGUCGAGCGGCGGACGGGUGAGUAAUGCUUGGGAAUAUGCCUUAUGGUGGGGGACAACAGUUGGAAACGACUGCUAAUACCGCAUGAUGUCUACGGACCAAAGUGGGGGACCUUCGGGCCUCACGCCAUGAGAUUAGCCCAAGUGGGAUUAGCUAGUUGGUGAGGUAAUGGCUCACCAAGGCGACGAUCCCUAGCUGGUUUGAGAGGAUGAUCAGCCACACUGGGACUGAGCCACGGCCCAGACUCCUACGGGAGGCAGCAGUGGGGAAUAUUGCACAAUGGGCGCAAGCCUGAUGCAGCCAUGCCGCGUGUGUGAAGAAGGCCUUCGGGUUGUAAAGCACUUUCAGUAAGGAGGAAAGGUUAAGUGUUAAUAGCACUUAGCUGUGACGUUACUUACAGAAGAAGCACCGGCUAACUCCGUGCCAGCAGCCGCGGUAAUACGGAGGGUGCGAGCGUUAAUCGGAAUUACUGGGCGUAAAGCGUACGCAGGCGGUUUGUUAAGCGAGAUGUGAAAGCCCCGGGCUCAACCUGGGAACUGCAUUUCGAACUGGCAAACUAGAGUGUGAUAGAGGGUGGUAGAAUUUCAGGUGUAGCGGUGAAAUGCGUAGAGAUCUGAAGGAAUACCGAUGGCGAAGGCAGCCACCUGGGUCAACACUGACGCUCAUGUACGAAAGCGUGGGGAGCAAACG